rnacentral:rRNA from 1 species
AGUGAACGCUGGCGGUAGGCCUAACACAUGCAAGUCGAACGGCAGCACAGUAAGAGCUUGCUCUUACGGGUGGCGAGUGGCGGACGGGUGAGGAAUACAUCGGAAUCUACUUUUUCGUGGGGGAUAACGUAGGGAAACUUACGCUAAUACCGCAUACGACCUACGGGUGAAAGCAGGGGAUCUUCGGACCUUGCGCGAUUGAAUGAGCCGAUGUCGGAUUAGCUAGUUGGCGGGGUAAAGGCCCACCAAGGCGACGAUCCGUAGCUGGUCUGAGAGGAUGAUCAGCCGCACUGGAACUGAGACACGGUCCAGACUCCUACGGGAGGCAGCAGUGGGGAAUGUUGGACAAUGGGCGCAAGCCUGAUCCAGCCAUACCGCGUGGGUGAAGAAGGCCUUCGGGUUGUAAAGCCCUUUUGUUGGGAAAGAAAAGCAGCAGGUUAAUACCCCGCUGUUCUGACGGUACCCAAAGAAUAAGCACCGGCUAACUUCGU